UCCUACGGGAGGCAGCAGUGAGGAAUAUUGGUCAAUGGACGCAAGUCUGAACCAGCCAUGCCGCGUGCAGGAUGACGGUCCUAUGGAUUGUAAACUGCUUUUGUACGGGAAGAAACGACUCUACGUGUAGAGUUUUGACGGUACCGUAAGAAUAAGGAUCGGCUAACUCCGUGCCAGCAGCCGCGGUAAUACGGAGGAUCCAAGCGUUAUCCGGAAUCAUUGGGUUUAAAGGGUCCGUAGGCGGUUUUAUAAGUCAGUGGUGAAAUCCGGCAGCUCAACUGUCGAACUGCCAUUGAUACUGUAGAACUUGAAUUAUUGUGAAGUAACUAGAAUAUGUAGUGUAGCGGUGAAAUGCUUAGAUAUUACAUGGAAUACCAAUUGCGAAGGCAGGUUACUAACAAUACAUUGACGCUGAUGGACGAAAGCGUGGGGAGCGAACAGGAUUAGAUACCCUGGUAGUCCACGCCGUAAACGAUGGAUACUAGCUGUUCGGAAGCAAUUCUGAGUGGCUAAGCGAAAGUGAUAAGUAUCCCACCUGGGGAGUACGAACGCAAGUUUGAAACUCAAAGGAAUUGACGGGGGCCCGCACAAGCGGUGGAGCAUGUGGUUUAAUUCGAUGAUACGCGAGGAACCUUACCAGGGCUUAAAUGUAGGAUGACAGGUUUGGAAACAGACUUUUCUUCGGACAUUCUACAAGGUGCUGCAUGGUUGUCGUCAGCUCGUGCCGUGAGGUGUCAGGUUAAGUCCUAUAACGAGCGCAACCCCUGUUGUUAGUUGCCAGCGAGUAAUGUCGGGAACUCUAGCAAGACUGCCGGUGCAAACCGUGAGGAAGGUGGGGAUGACGUCAAAUCAUCACGGCCCUUACGUCCUGGGCUACACACGUGCUACAAUGGCCGGUACAGAGAGCAGCCACCUGGUGACAGGGAGCGAAUCUAUAAAGCCGGUCACAGUUCGGAUUGGAGUCUGCAACCCGACUCCAUGAAGCUGGAAUCGCUAGUAAUCGGAUAUCAGCCAUGAUCCGGUGAAUACGUUCCCGGGCCUUGUACACACCGCCCGUCAAGCCAUGGAAGCUGGGGGUACCUGAAGUCGGUGACCGCAAGGAGCUGCCUAGGUAAACCAGA
rnacentral:rRNA from 1 species